rnacentral:rRNA from 1 species
CUACGGGUCGCUCCAGUGGGGAAUUUUGCGCAAUGGGCGAAAGCCUGACGCAGCAAUACCGCGUGAGUGAAGAAGGCCUUUGGGUCGUAAAGCUCUUUUCUGAAGGAAGAUAGUGACGGUACUUCAGGAAUAAGCACCGGCUAACUCCGUGCCAGCAGCCGCGGUAAUACGGAGGGUGCAAGCGUUGUUCGGAUUUACUGGGCGUAAAGGGCACGUAGGCGGCAUAGCAAGUUAAGGGUGAAAUCCCGGGGCUCAACUCCGGAACUGCUCUUAAAACUGCUAAGCUAGAGAUAGUCAGAGGCGGGUGGAAUUCCUGGUGUAGAGGUGACAUUCGUAGAUAUCAGGAGGAACACCGGUGGCGAAGGCGGCCCGCUGGGGCUAUUCUGACGCUAAGGUGCGAAAGCGUGGGGAGCGAACGGGAUUAGAUACCCCAGUAGUC